rnacentral:rRNA from 1 species
GCGAGGGUAAGCCAAUCUCAGAAAACCGAUCGUAGUCCGGAUUGGAGUCUGCAACUCGACUCCAUGAAGUCGGAAUCGCUAGUAAUCGCGAAUCAGCAUGUCGCGGUGAAUACGUUCCCGGGCCUUGUACACACCGCCCGUCACACCAUGGGAGUGGAUUCCACCAGAAGCAGGUAGCUUAACCUUCGGGAGGGCGCUUGCCACGGUGAGGUUCAUGACUGGGGUGAAGUCGUAACAAGGUAGCCGUUGGGGAACCAGCGGCUGGAUCACCUCCUUA